rnacentral:rRNA from 1 species
UACGUAGGGUGCAAGCGUUAAUCGGAAUUACUGGGCGUAAAGCGUGCGCAGGCGGUUUUGUAAGUCUGUCGUGAAAUCCCCGGGCUCAACCUGGGAAUUGCGAUGGAGACUGCAAGGCUAGAAUCUGGCAGAGGGGGGUAGAAUUCCACGUGUAGCAGUGAAAUGCGUAGAGAUGUGGAGGAACACCGAUGGCGAAGGCAGCCCCCUGGGUCAAGAUUGACGCUCAUGCACGAAAGCGUGGGGAGCAAACAGGAUUAACGAA